rnacentral:tRNA from 1 species
GCCGAUGUAGCUCAAUCAGGCAGAGCAACGGAUUUGUAAUCCGUAGGCUUGGGGUUCGAUUCCCCACAUCGGCACCA